CCUACGGGGGACAGCAGUGAGGAAUAUUGGUCAAUGGACGAGAGUCUGAACCAGCCAAGUAGCGUGAAGGAUGACUGCCCUAUGGGUUGUAAACUUCUUUUAUAUGGGAAUAAAACGUUCCACGUGUGGGAUUUUGUAUGUACCAUAUGAAUAAGGAUAGGCUAACUCCGUGCCAGCAGCCGAGGUAAUACGGAGGAUCCGAGCGUUAUCCGGAUUUAUUGGGUUUAAAGGGAGCGUAGGUGGAUUGUUAAGUCAGUUGUGAAAGUUUGCGGCUCAACCGUAAAAUUGCAGUUGAAACUGGCAGUCUUGAGUACAGUAGAGGUGGGCGGAAUUCGUGGUGUAGCGGUGAAAUGCUUAGAUAUCACGAAGAACUCCGAUUGCGAAGGCAGUUCACUGGACUGCAACUGACACUGAGGCUCGAAAGUGUGGGUAUCAAACAGGAUUAGAUACCCUGGUAGUC
rnacentral:rRNA from 1 species